CUCAUCACAUCCUGGGGCUGGAGCAGGUCCCAAGGGUUCGGCUGUUCGCCGAUUAAAGUGGUACGUGAGCUGGGUUUAGAACGUCGUGAGACAGUUCGGUCCCUAUCUACCGUGGGUGUAGGAGAAUUGAGAGGAUCUGCCCCUAGUACGAGAGGACCGGGGUGGACGUACCUCUGGUGGACCAGUUGUCGUGCCAACGGCACAGCUGGGUAGCUAUGUACGGACUGGAUAACCGCUGAAAGCAUCUAAGCGGGAAACCAACCUCGAAACCAGUUCUCCCUUGAGAACCGUGGAAGACGACCACGUUGAUAGGCCAGGUGUGUAAGUGCAGCAAUGUAUUGAGCUUACUGGUACUAAUCGUUCGAUUGGCUUGAU
rnacentral:rRNA from 1 species